rnacentral:lncRNA from 1 species
UUUUUUUUUUCUUUUUAGGGUCGCACCCAUGGUAUAUAAACGUUCCCAGGUUAGGUGUCAAAUGGGAGCUGCAGGUGACAGCCUAUACCACUGCCAUAGCAACAUCAGAUCUAAGCCACAUCAGCAACCUACACUGCAGCUUUCAACAAUGCCAGAUCCUAUAACCCACUAAGCAAGGCCUUUUCCAUUGAGCGCCCUUGUCUUUGUAAUUACCUCCUCCUCCAACUCUGUAAGAGUCUGUUGAAAGAUAGAAUUCCAGGAAAAUUGAUUUUCAUUGUGAGAAAGAAUAUAGUUCAUAUACGAGGACUUUCAUUGCUGUAGAAUUAUAUAGUUUCAUGCUGUAAUUUUUUCUGUAGACUUUCAUACUGAAUGCAUGCAAGGGAUGCUAUCAGAGUAAUAAACAAACAAAUCUUUAAAAAUAAUUCUAAAUAAUUGAAUGAAAUCUCCUAAACAAAAACAUCUUGAAGGCAACUUUUAAUCAUUUCUAAUAAUUUUGUGACAGAGAUGGUCACAAAAUUAUAAAAAUAAAUCUUAUGGUUCACAUUUUCACUGCACACUAUGAGUCCCAAAAGGUUAAAAUCCUUAGCAGCAUCAUUUAGACCUUCAAAUUAUAUUUAUUAAGCAUCUCCUUAUAAAACCUAUGCAAUGCUAAGAUUUCGGUGUAGUAAGGAUAACAGGUAGAGCUUAUGUCUUAGAUAGUGGUUUAGUAGUGUACAAUAACAGAAAAAGGGAAUGUCAGAUAAACAGGGUGAGAUCAAACAAGGAUUUACUGCUAUAUUCAGUACUUCUCAGUAAAUAGAAGCAAUAUCUAUGUAGAAGUGGGAUAUAAGACAGAGGACCUAGUGACAAGAAAAAAGGCAUUAGAAGUUGUCCAAUCACAAAUAACUUUACACAUCUGGUUUAAACCUAGCCCUGCAUGUAAGUAAAAUAUAAACAAACAAGUACAAACAAGAGUGGGCUGUGUACUACCGAAACACAAUUUAGCAAUUAUACUUUUUAAAGGCUUUUUAUUGAGCAUGGUGGCUAUAAAGAGCAUAGAAAUAUCAUUAUGCAUGUUUAAAAAACAGAGGCUAUAAGUUAGGUGCCUCUGGCAUUCACAGUAAUGCAAAGACAUUAAAUACCAUUUAUUUUUCUUAAUUUACAAUGUGAUGAGCUAUUUUUUGUCUCUAAUAUAGAAAUGGGAAAUUAGCCACACUCAUUUUAGAGGAGUAUACUAUUUCUGGUUUCUCACGCUCAUGAGAAAGUCUUUCUUCAUAGCUCUACUUCCAUAUGUGUUGUAGCUGUUCUAUAGCAGAAGGAGGGAGAAAGAAAAUCUGAAUUUUCCUUGGACUUAUCUCUUUUUCUGUGUCAGAGGUGAAGAGAUAUAAAUAUUUUCUAAGGAAAUGAACAAAAGG